CAUGCGGGUGCUUACCAUGCAAGUUGAACGGGGAUAUCGUUUUCGGAUGGUAUCCUAGUAGCGGACGGGUGAGUAACGCGUGAGUAACCUACCUUUGUGAGGGGGACAACAGCUGGAAACGGCUGCUAAUACCGCAUAAGGCCACGGCCCCGAGUGGGGCUGAGGUAAAAGAUUUAUCGCACAAAGAUGGACUCGCGUCCCAUUAGCUAGUUGGUGAGGUAACGGCCCACCAAGGCGACGAUGGGUAGCCGACCUGAGAGGGUGAUCGGCCACACUGGAACUGAGACACGGUCCAGACUCCUACGGGAGGCAGCAGUGGGGAAUAUUGGGCAAUGGGCGCAAGCCUGACCCAGCAACGCCGCGUGAGGGAAGAAGGUCUUCGGAUUGUAAACCUCUGUCCUCAGGGACGAAAAAAAUGACGGUACCUGAGGAGGAAGCUCCGGCUAACUACGUGCCAGCAGCCGCGGUAAUACGUAGGGAGCAAGCGUUGUCCGGAAUUACUGGGCGUAAAGGGUGCGUAGGUGGCUUGGCAAGUCAGAUGUGAAAUCCCCGGGCUUAACUCGGGGGGUGCAUUUGAAACUGCUGAGCUUGAGUGCAGGAGAGGAAAGCGGAAUUCCUAGUGUAGCGGUGAAAUGCGUAGAUAUUAGGAGGAACACCAGUGGCGAAGGCGGCUUUCUGGACUGUAACUGACACUGAUGCACGAAAGCGUGGGGAGCAAACAGGAUUAGAUACCCUGGUAGUCCACGCUGUAAACGAUGGAUACUAGGUGUGGGGGGAGAUACAACCUCCGUGCCGCAGCUAACGCAAUAAGUAUCCCGCC
rnacentral:rRNA from 1 species